rnacentral:hammerhead_ribozyme from 1 species
AUCCAGCUGACGAAUCCCAUAUAGGAUAAAACACAAUUCCUGGAU